rnacentral:lncRNA from 1 species
CCGGGGGCAGGGAAGUGGGUAGGACAAGAAGAGGAGGAAGCCAAGCCAGGGAAUGAUCUCAAGCAAAAUUGAAGCAGAAGGUGUCUUCAGACUGACCCCCCAGGGGAACUCAAGAGGGUGUCAGAUGUGUACCGUGUUCUGAAGACUCUCCCCACCUUCUCCAGCACCCUCCCCCUUUGUCCUUCACAGGCAUUUCCUCCAAUCAGUCUUUCGUCUUCUGCUUCAUGGAAGACCUGACGGACACAGACAACUCAUCUUUACAUCCUCCAUGCCUGGGACAUUGGCAGGGAUUCUGCAGCAGUGAUGAAGAGCAUGGACACAAAUCAUAACCCGGGACUUGUUCCAUGGGUAGCCUUGAGAGCAGGUGACUUCAACCUCUCUGAAACCGAGUUUGAGGUCCUCAUCUAUUAAGUGGUAUUGAUAUUAAUAGCUAUGUCUUACGGCUGUUUGAGAAUGAAUAAGUUAAUGCAUGAAUACGUUUAGCACAGUGCUUAAAAAUCACAAUAAAUAUCUAAUACAAUAUAACUAGCUGCAUUGGAUGCACUAAGUAUUCUACACAUGUGUUAGUGCUGCAAACUGCCUGGUGCUGGUAGCUGCAAUGGUCACAGGACUGUCAGGCUGUGUCCCCCACCACAACCCCUGACACACACACACUCAAUUCUCUCAAACAUAGGCUGCUGAAGGUGACUUCAGCACCAUAAACUUAGCUGGGCCAUUUCUGGGAGACUGUCUAGGUCUCUGUGAAUUCUGCCUCCUUUUUGAUAUUGCUGAUAUAGUUUGGAUGUGUGUCCCCUCUAAAUCUCAUGUUGAAUUAUCAUCUGCAGUGUUGGAGGUAGGGCUAGUGGGAGGUGAUUUCUCACAAAUGGUUUAGCACCAUCUCCUUGAUGCCAUCCUCAGGAUAGUGAGUGAGUUCUUGUGAGAUCUGGUUGUUUAAAAGUCUGUAGGAUCUUCCCCCUCACUCUCUCUCUCUUGCAUCCCCUCUCGCCAUGUGAUAUGCUGGCUUCCCCUUUGCCUUCCACCAUGGAUAGGAAGCUUCCUGAGGCC